rnacentral:rRNA from 1 species
AUUGAACGCUGGCGGCAGGCCUAACACAUGCAAGUCGAGCGGAUGAAGGGAGCUUGCUCCUGGAUUCAGCGGCGGACGGGUGAGUAAUGCCUAGGAAUCUACCUGGUAGUGGGGGAUAACGUCCGGAAACGGGCGCUAAUACCGCAUACGUCCUGAUGGAGAAAGUGGGGGAUCUUCGGACCUCACGCUAUCAGAUGAGCCUAGGUCGGAUUAGCUAGUUGGUGGGGUAAAGGCCUACCAAGGCGACGAUCCGUAACUGGUCUGAGAGGAUGAUCAGUCACACUGGAACUGAGACACGGUCCAGACUCCUACGGGAGGCAGCAGUGGGGAAUAUUGGACAAUGGGCGAAAGCCUGAUCCAGCCAUGCCGCGUGUGUGAAGAAGGUCUUCGGAUUGUAAAGCACUUUAAGUUGGGAGGAAGGGCAGUAAGUUAAUACCUUGCUGUUUUGACGUUACCAACAGAAUAAGCACCGGCUAACUUCGUG